GCCCUACGUGGCUUAGGCGGGAGAACACUCGACUGUGGUGCGGUACGAUUCGAGUUCGAGUCCCGAUGAGGGCU